GCAGAGAGAAAGAGAACCACAGCAGCUGGAGGAGGAACAAAUGAUGAAGUUUUGUUCCCCAAUAAAACCAAGUCGACUGGACCAUCAGGAGAGAAAACAGCCUAAAAGUCUUCGAGAGUAGAAUCAAAUUCUGUCGGCAAGUUAGAAAAGUCCUGGAAAAAUAAGUUUAAAUAAUCUUCCACCAUAUUAAGUUUUAGUUUAUGUUCUAUCAAAACACCUGGUUUGGUUCAGGCAUGAAGCAUAUUACAGAUCAGACCAUUAACACAUGUGCAAACGGCUGUUUAAUGCAGAUAUUACACCAUUGUUUUGGCGCCCCCUGUGGCGCGUCAACCCUAUGCGUCGCAUAGCCAUUUUUUGCACCACUGUUUGCUAAUGAAACAGGAAACUCCUCCUCUCUCCGCCCGCUGGAAGCAGCUCUGAUUCUUCCUGAAGCUCACGAUGGCGGCAGCGGCCGUUAAUUAACCUCCGCCUCCCUCCGCCAUGUCAGACGUGUUUAUUUUGCACAACAGGAACAAUUAAGCCGCUGACAAGGCGGCCUCAUUUAAAGUCGUCCCCGGCAGACACCUUGCGGCCCCCCGCUGUAACCUUCAGUGGUGCCUUGAAAUGCGUUUGGCUGUAUGGAAGACAUAUUAUCAUAAGCAGAUGCCCACGCUGCCGCCCACCGCAGCUCAGCUCCGAGAAACGAGGUCGGCUCCUGAAUAUCAAAGACGCGGAGGUUCAUUUAGUUGGGGUUCUGUUUGGGCCGCUGAGGCCCGGCGAGGCCCGCUGAUCUGAAGCUCAUUUGUUAAGCUGUCUGUCCUCAUCCGUCAGCAUCACAACAGCCAAUUUCUCCUUCCCUGCUCAUCUUCCCGUCUCCUAAUGGCCGGGGAUGUUCAGAGCUUUCUUCACUUCUGAGGUAUGCAGAUAAGAAGUUCACGCUCCUCCCUGUGCUGGCCUGUCUUCUCUUUAUUUUAAUCGUUCAUUAAAUCAAUGGAAAUUGCUUUUUUUUUUUACAUCUGUGAGCGUUGUUAGCGCUCGUAUCUCACGAGAAGCAGAUUUGUCUGAUCAUAAACAUCAUAUCUGACAACCUUCAGCCUCCACCUGUUUGUGAGAGAUGUCGUGUUUAUUAGAGACUGAAUUGGCUUGCAAUCUCGUCUACUUAACAUCAGCGACCCGCGCGGUGUGUGCGGCGUUCCUCUCAGAUCGUCUGACGACAACGGAAAUCGAUGACUCUUGUUGCAAAACAUUGUUAUUUGCGUCGACUGAAAAACGAUGAUUUGUGUGAAGCCUCUGAGGCCGGAGCUUUUUGAAAGUUGGGAAUCAUUUUCUGUGAUAUCGUGGAGCACCACUGACAUGGAGAAACAAAGAUUAACAAGGACUAAAGAUUGUUCAAGAUGGAUGUGCUCCCUGUGCGUUCCCUCUAUCACAAAACUUCUCUUACAUUUCUAAGAUAUUUCCACCUUUUUUUCAUACUUUACCUAAUCAUUGUGGAACUUUUAAUGAACGCUAUUAUGAACCAACACCAUCACCUAAAAGUUUCAGCAUCCCUCUAAGCCAAAAUAAACCAUCUGGAGCAUCAA